GACAGAGGGUGCAAACGUUGUUCGGAAUUACUGGGCGUAAAGCGUGCGUAGACGGUUAUGUAAGUCGGGUGUGAAAGCCCCGGGCUCAACCUGGGAAUUGCAUUCGAGACUGCGUAGCUAGGGUGCGGAAGAGGGAAGCGGAAUUUCCGGUGUAGCGGUGAAAUGCGUAGAUAUCGGAAGGAACACCAGUGGCGAAAGCGGCUUCCUGGUCCAGCACCGACGUUCAGGCACGAAAGCGUGGGGAGCAAACAGG
rnacentral:rRNA from 1 species